rnacentral:lncRNA from 1 species
GGGACCAACUCUUUAGAACCAGCAAUGCCAAACAGAUCCCACUCAGGGGAAGUCCAUGCUAAGUGUCAUGGGUCCUAUGGAAUUUUCUGAAGCUUUCCUUUUCUCCCCCACCUUCAACCAGCUUAUCUGAUCUUCUGGGAUCUCUACUAGGAUGCUGGCAGCCCAGCCAGCUGGUCUGGCCCUGGACGUGCCUUCAGGGGCUGGGUAUGCUUCAUGACCUGUGUUUUGAUCCUGGUUGGAGUAAAACAUUCCAUGGGAACUCGGGCUGUGAGAAACGUCCUAACCACCUGACUGCAGAAACAUCCUUAUCACAUCCUGCUGGGCAAAGGCCCAACAGCCUGACUUCAGGAACAUCCUUAUCAUCAUCUACUGAGCAGCAAGCUAUACUGUCCAGAGCCCUCCCUCCCAGCCCCAUGAUUACCCCAGCCUGUAAGUGGCAGUGGGCGCUGACACUAAGCUGGUUUCCCCCUCC